rnacentral:rRNA from 1 species
GCCACAUCGGGACUGAGACACGGCCCGAACUCCUACGGGAGGCAGCAGUGGGGAAUAUUGGACAAUGGGGGCAACCCUGAUCCAGCCAUGCCGCGUGUGUGAAGAAGGCUUUCGGGUUGUAAAGCACUUUCAGCGAGGAGGAAGGCUCUAAAGUUAAUACCUUUAGGGAUUGACGUUACUCGCAGAAGAAGCACCGGCUAACUCCGUGCCAGCAGCCGCGGUAAUACGGAGGGUGCAAGCGUUAAUCGGAAUUACUGGGCGUAAAGCGCGCGUAGGUGGUUAGGUAAGCGAGAUGUGAAAGCCCCGGGCUUAACCUGGGAACGGCAUUUCGAACUGUCUGACUAGAGU